rnacentral:rRNA from 1 species
AAUAAGAGGUCCCGCCUGCCCUGUGACUAUACGUUUAACGGCCGCGGUAUUCUGACCGUGCGAAGGUAGCGCAAUCACUUGUCUUUUAAAUGGAGACCUGUAUGAAUGGCAUAACGAGGGCUUAACUGUCUCCCCUUUCAAGUCAAUGAAAUUGAUCUCCCCGUGCAGAAGCGGGGAUAGCCACAUAAGACGAGAAGACCCUAUGGAGCUUUAGACACCAAAGCAGAUCAUGUUAAACGCCCCUAAACAAAGGACAAAACCAGACGAACCCUGCCCUAAUGUCUUUGGUUGGGGCGACCGCGGGGUAUCAUAUAACCCCCAUGUGGACUGGGAACACUCCACCUACAACCAAGAGCUACCGCUCUAAGUACCAGAAUUUUUGACCAAACAGAUCCGGCAAAGCCGAUCAACGGACCGAGUUACCCUAGGGAUAACAGCGCAAUCCUCUUUUAGAGUUCAUAUCGACAAGAGGGUUUACGACCUCGAUGUUGGAUCAGGACAUCCUAAUGGUGCAGCCGCUAUUAAGGGUUCGUUUGUUCAACGAUUAAAGUCCU